AACUUCAUUUUUGUUCUUUGAAAAAGAAAACCUUAAGUAAACUGAAAAAGACAUAAGCAUAAACGUAGGAAGCAUCGUAAAGGUAGUUGUGUGACCUCAAUCAUCUGCACUAAUCAAGUUUUGUUUUUAUUACUACCAAGUCCCUGCCCAAACGAACAGGGAAGCAUCUAAUUGCAGUCUCAAAAAAACAAUUAGUUUUGUUUUUACUUAGAUAUUUGUGACUUGAGGAUCUCAAUCAAACAUAUUCAUCACUCCACGUGGUCCUCAUCUCAUUGCUCGGCUGAACCCCCAAUUAUCUGUAAAUCGACUUGGAAUGGCCACCGUUUAUCAUCAAUUAAAAUUGAAGACUCUCCCAUUCACACAAAUUCAAUGCUAGUCACAAGAUGGAGUCAACAAGACGUUAUGCUCCUCACACAUUAUUCUAUUUAUUUAUUUUUGUUGGUAAUUUAUUGCAAUUGUGUUAAUAUUUCUCAAAACCCUUUAUUGUCGUAUUUAUGUUCUCCUAGUAUUUUAAUUAGUUUUGCCAUAUUUUGCAUUUUC
rnacentral:lncRNA from 1 species